rnacentral:rRNA from 1 species
GGAUGCCUUGGCACUAGAAGCCGAUGAAGGACGUUACUAACGACGAUAUGCUUUGGGGAGCUGUAAGUAAGCUUUGAUCCAGAGAUUUCCGAAUGGGGAAACCCAGCAUGAGUUAUGUCAUGUUAUCGAUAUGUGAAUACAUAGCAUAUCAGAAGGCACACCCGGAGAACUGAAACAUCUUAGUACCCGGAGGAAGAGAAAGAAAAUUCGAUUCCCUUAGUAGCGGCGAGCGAAACGGGAAGAGCCCAAACCAACAAGCUUGCUUGUUGGGGUUGUAGGACACUCUAUACGGAGUUACAAAGGACGACAUUAGACGAAUCAUCUGGAAAGAUGAAUCAAAGAAGGUAAUAAUCCUGUAGUCGAAAAUGUUGUCUCUCUUGAGUGGAUCCUGAGUACGACGGAGCACGUGAAAUUCCGUCGGAAUCUGGGAGGACCAUCUCCUAAGGCUAAAUACUCUCUAGUGACCGAUAGUGAACCAGUACCGUGAGGGAAAGGUGAAAAGCACCCCGGAAGGGGAGUGAAAUAGAACCUGAAACCGUGUGCUUACAAGUAGUCAGAGCCCGUUAAUGGGUGAUGGCGUGCCUUUUGUAGAAUGAACCGGCGAGUUACGAUUUGAUGCAAGGUUAAGCAGUAAAUGUGGAGCCGUAGCGAAAGCGAGUCUGAAUAGGGCGUUUAGUAUUUGGUCGUAGACCCGAAACCAGGUGAUCUACCCUUGGUCAGGUUGAAGUUCAGGUAACACUGAAUGGAGGACCGAACCGACUUACGUUGAAAAGUGAGCGGAUGAACUGAGGGUAGCGGAGAAAUUCCAAUCGAACCUGGAGAUAGCUGGUUCUCUCCGAAAUAGCUUUAGGGCUAGCCUCAAGUGAUGAUUAUUGGAGGUAGAGCACUGUUUGGACGAGGGGCCCCUCUCGGGUUACCGAAUUCAGACAAACUCCGAAUGCCAAUUAAUUUAACUUGGGAGUCAGAACAUGGGUGAUAAGGUCC